AGCACUGUGGCUUAGUGGAAAGAGCAUGGGUUUGGGAGCCAGAAGACCUGGGUUCUAAUCCCAGCUCGGUUG
rnacentral:tRNA from 1 species